CAACAUCAUACUGUUGAUGAAUAUCUAGUUUAUACUCCCGAUACUAAUGAUCUAGGAAAUUGGGACAAUCUUCAUAAUAAAGCAAGAUAUAUCUUAGUUGAGAAAGGGCCUAUGAGAGAGGGAGAACUGGAAUACCGUGUAGAUGGUGUAUGAAGACAUUUUUCAUGUGCUCAUUAUCAUAGGAAAUGAAGCAAUGGAAAGGAACAUGAUAGAUAA
rnacentral:rRNA from 1 species